GUUUUCGGCGGCUCGGGCGUGGGGAGCCGUAAGGCUCGCCGGUGCUCCAUCGGUCUUCCAACCCGCGUUCGGGCUGCCACCCCU
rnacentral:antisense_RNA from 1 species